CCCGCACCCCGACUCCUGCUCCAUGCUUUUGGCAGUCAUGGGAGCGGGGGGUUGUGUAUGGGACAGUGGGCAACUCGCUGCAAAGCCAACCGUGUGCUCCCUCGCCGCGCCCGUGAGCUUCACGCCUCGGACAGCUCCUGGUGCACUUUCCCGCUCUUCCUGUCAGGAGAUGGUGCCCUCUGGGUACCAGGCCUCUUGUCCCGGGCCAAUCGCAAAGCGCUUAGAGCCGAAUGGGGCGGGACAGAGGCAAGAAAGGGUUGUCCCAAUUGGAGCGUUCGAAAGGUUCUGGGCAGAAGCGGCGAGUGGGGGCCUCGCCCCGCCUGCGGUCGCCAUGGUAACCGAGAGGGCGCAGCUCAGCGUUGGCGCCAGCACCGGGGCCUUGCGCUGUCCCUCAAUGGGUGACCAGUUAAGGUGGGAACCUGUGGUCUCACAUACUUGAAGUCUGAGCUGAGUGGACCUGAGUGCCAUAGACUUUCCAUUGAAAGGGGAAAUGUGUCAGAGGGAAGCGAGUCUGGGAGGAGGGAAAGUGCCUUCAGUCCAGGACUAAUUUCAAGGUUUACAACACUUUACACACUCUGCAACUCCUGAUAAUCCAGGGACUACUUCUUUGGCAGCGUUUGCUAUUCGAUGCCUCCAGAUGUACUGAAGCUGCAAAAACGAGCUCUUCAUUACAAAGAUACGUUUGUUUAGGAAGAGACUGGAUUUUUCACUUGUCAACUUACCCCAUCACCACGAGUCAUUUAAUGUUGGUAACGCCAGCCACGAUUUUUCGUAUCUAUAACACCCCUUCUUCCAUUGAAUUCUACCUACAAAUAACUGAAGGCUCACAUUAUUUUGGAAUAUGGACCUCCGCCUCUUGUGGAGACUUGAGAUUGCUCUUAAGCUGAUUUCCCAAACAGGGGCUGCAAUGUGUGUUCCCGAUUUUAAAUUCAUGGAGCUCACCCUAGAUGAGUCCUUUGGUUCGGUGGUUCGGAAAAGUCUCUUUGUUCCUUCUCCAAACUCAGUAAGCUGUCUUACCUGAAACCAAAAAUAGGGGUAUGAGGAUAUGAAAAAUGGCUCUUACUCUGCAGGGUUUAAUGUAGGACAAGCAGUUCUUUAAAUGCCAGAUGGAUUCUUGGAAUGAAGCAGGCUACUCGGUUCCAGGUUCUUUCCUUCAUAUGUUGUGUGUACUUUUAAAUACUCCCCACUGCAAAGCUAAUAGCUAAGCUUACAGUUAGGCAAGCUAAAAUCCUUACAAACUGCACAGCUGCUGAGGAGGGAGUUCCAAAAAAUCCACUCUGCUUACUUACCUCCAAAGAAGAACCCCCUUCAUGUUCAUUAAUAUUCUCUGCUCUUCUAUACCCCAUUGAUAUGUCAAGUUUCCAAUUCUUCUUUGAAGCCCCCAUUAUGGGUUACUCAUAAUCGUCAUUGAUUGGGUUUUUUCUUUAUUCUUAAUUUGUUUUUUAAAACUGUCACCAAAUUCUUAAGCAUUUUUGCCAAAAGGCGCAGGAGCAA